rnacentral:rRNA from 1 species
GACGAACGCUGGCGGCGUGCUUAACACAUGCAAGUCGAACGGAAAGGCCCCUUUGGGGGUACUCGAGUGGCGAACGGGUGAGUAACACGUGAGUAACCUGCCCUUGACUUCGGGAUAACUUCAGGAAACUGGGGCUAAUACCGGAUAGGAAUCCUUGCUGCAUGGUGGGGGUUGGAAAGCUUCGGCGGUUUUGGAUGGACUCGCGGCUUAUCAGCUUGUUGGUGGGGUAGUGGCUUACCAAGGCGUUGACGGGUAGCCGGCCUGAGAGGGCGACCGGCCACAUUGGGACUGAGAUACGGCCCAGACUCCUACGGGAGGCAGCAGUGGGGAAUAUUGCACAAUGGGCGGGAGCCUGAUGCAGCAACGCCGCGUGCGGGAUGACGGCCUUCGGGUUGUAAACCGCUUUCAGCAGGGGCGAAGCUUGUGGUGACGGUACCUGCAGAAGAAGCACCGGCUAACUACGUG